GUGCAAGCGUUGUCCGUAAUUAUUGGGCGUAAAGAGCUCGUAGGCGGUUUGUCGCGUCUGCUGUGAAAACCCGAGGCUCAACCUCGGGCCUGCAGUGGGUACGGGCAGACUAGAGUGCGGUAGGGGAGAAUGGAAUUCCUGGUGUAGCGGUGGAAUGCGCAGAUAUCAGGAGGAACACCGAUGGCGAAGGCAGUUCUCUGGGCCGUUACUGACGCUGAGGAGCGAAAGCGUGGGGAGCGAACAGGAUUAGAUACCCUGGUAGUCAAGGGCG
rnacentral:rRNA from 1 species